AUUGAACGCUGGCGGCAUGCUUUACACAUGCAAGUCGAGCGGCAGCGCGGGUGCAACCCUGGCGGCGAGCGACGGACGGGUGAGUAGAGCAUCGGAACGUAUCCCGUAGUGGGGGACAACCCAGCGAAAGCUGGGCUAAUACCGCAUAUGCUCUACGGAGGAAAGUGGGGGACUCGCAAGGGCCUCACGCUAUGGGAGCGGCCGAUGUCCGAUUAGCUAGUUGGUGGGGUAAUGGAUCACCAAGGCGACGAUCGGUAGCUGGUCUGAGAGGAUGAUCAGCCACACUGGGACUGAGACACGGCCCAGACUCCUACGGGAGGCAGCAGUGGGGAAUUUUGGACAAUGGGGGCAACCCUGAUCCAGCCAUGCCGCGUGCGGGAAGAAGGCCUUCGGGUUGUAAACCGCUUUUGUCUGGGAAGAAAAGGCGUCCACUAAUACUGGGCGUUCUUGACGGUACUGGAAGAAUAAGCACCGGCUAACUACGUGCCAGCCGCCGCCGUAA
rnacentral:rRNA from 1 species